AUGGGCGCAAGCCUGAUCCAGCCAUGCCGCGUGUGUGAAGAAGGCUUUCGGGUUGUAAAGCUCUUUCUCGGAGGAAGAAAAUCUGGCGGUUCAUACUCGAUAGGCUUGACCUUACUCACAGAAAAAGCACCGGCUAACUCCGUGCCCGCAGCCGCGGUAAUACGGAGGGGGCAAGCGUUCAUCGGAAUUACUGGGCGUAAAGCGCGUGUAAGUGGUUUGGUAAGCCCGAUGUGAAAGCCCCGGGCUCAACCUGGGAACGGCGUUUCAAACUGUCAGGCUAUAGUCUGGGAGAGGGGAGUGGAAUUUCCUGUGUAGGAGUGAAAUGCGUAGAUAUAGGAAGGAACACCCGUGGCCAAGGCCGCUCUCUGGACCGAUACUGACACUAAGGGGCUAAAACGCGGGGAGCAAACUGGAUUAAAUACCCUGGUACUCCACGCUGCAAACGAUGUCUCCUAGUCGUUGGGACUCUUGAAGUCUUAUUGCCCCACCUGACGCACUACACACACCGCCUGGGGAGAAGGGCGUCAAGGUUAAAACUCA
rnacentral:rRNA from 1 species